rnacentral:misc_RNA from 1 species
GUGAAUCAUCGAAUUUUUGAACGCAAAUUGCACUCCCUGGUAUUCCAGGGAGUAUGCCUGUUUGAGGGUCGUUAGAAUAAAAAAUCGAUGCGUCGCUCUUUUUUUUAUGGGUGAUCGCGUCGGAAUGAAGCCGUCGUUCAAAUGUUAAUUCAUGUCAAUGUGGCUUGAAAUUCAUCCAUCCUUUUGGAUGGAAGCAUAUUUA